rnacentral:rRNA from 1 species
GACGAACGCUGGCGGCGUGCUUAACACAUGCAAGUCGAGCGGAAAGGCCCUGCUUUUGUGGGGUGCUCGAGUGGCGAACGGGUGAGUAACACGUGAGUAACCUGCCCUUGACUUUGGGAUAACUUCAGGAAACUGGGGCUAAUACCGGAUAGGAGCUCCUGCUGCAUGGUGGGGGUUGGAAAGUUUCGGCGGUUGGGGAUGGACUCGCGGCUUAUCAGCUUGUUGGUGGGGUAGUGGCUUACCAAGGCUUUGACGGGUAGCCGGCCUGAGAGGGUGACCGGCCACAUUGGGACUGAGAGACGGACCAGACUCCUACGUGAGGCAGCAGUGGGGAAUAUUGCACAAUGGGCGGAAGCCUGAUGCAGCAACGCCGCGUGCGUGAUGACGGCCUUCGGGUUGUAAACCGCUUUCGCCUGUGACGAAGCGUGAGUGACGGUAAUGGGUAAAGAAGCACCGGCUAACUACGUG